GUUGGGUAGAGUGGCGUCAAUCUGUAGCUCAAGCUUCUGGAGAACUGGUUGGGUGAAGGCUUGAGUAGUGGGUCACUGCUGAUGAUUUCUAUCCAUGUUUUUUAGAGCCUAGUGUUGACAUGGGCAUCUUCAAGUAAUUGCGAGAUGGCAAGGUUAUUAAAGACUUGGGGAACGCGUGAGGCUGGCAACAGAGCAACUAGAACCAAGCGCACUGGAGCAGUCUGAGUGGAUGGUCAUCAGUAGGCACUAAAACAAAGUGAGACUAUCGACUUA
rfam:Basidiobolus meristosporus CBS 931.73 K493scaffold_847, whole genome shotgun sequence.